rnacentral:rRNA from 1 species
UACAGAGGGUGCAAGCGUUAAUCGGAUUUACUGGGCGUAAAGCGUGCGUAGGCGGUUCAGUAUGUCGGUCGUGAAAUCCCCGGGCUUAACCUGGGAACUGCGGCCGAAACUGCUGGGCUAGAGUGUGGUAGAGGAAGGUGGAAUUCCAGGUGUAGCGGUGAAAUGCGUAGAUAUCUGGAGGAACACCGAUGGCGAAGGCAGCCUUCUGGGCCACAACUGACGCUGAGGUACGAAAGCGUGGGUAGCAAACAGG